AAUUCUCAAAACCCCUUCCUUUGCCGGAAUGGAUUUUGGACUUGGAGGCCUUUUGCCGGUUUCACCUCGAAGCCGGCUCCUCCUAAAUGGAUUAGUGGGGUCUGCUUUGCCGGUCCUUGACGUGAUAAGAUGCUUCUACGUCUCGGGUUUUGGCACUGUGCCUCUGCUUCUAACCGUCUCAUUGACAACGAUGGUGUUCCGGUCACCGCCGAUUCCUCGGUGGGAGGCUUGACCCACAAAACGAC
rnacentral:misc_RNA from 1 species